UCAAUAAUUUAACUUUAGCAGCUUAUAGACUACUCAUAUACAACAGUCUUCAUCACUGUAUCAGAUCUUCAAAAAAGCAAUAGAACAUUUAACUUAGAUUUAUUCGUUAGUUACAGUUAAUAAUAUGUGUUAUCUUCCUCAUCAGCUCUGUAAUUUUUUUAUCUUUUCUCCUCACCAUGAUCUUCAACAAAUCAAAUGUAAGAAGGAGUUGUACCUAUUGAUAAGAAAUGCACCAAUGUUAUUCCUUUUCAUCAAAUAGAAAAUCUUAGGGUAAUUAUCAAUUACUAGCCAAGUUUCUCGAUUAAUGGAGAAGUCAGUUAACUCUGGGAUCAAGCAAUUCUUUAAUAAAAACAAUCUGAUAUCUCCAAGACAAUAUGGAUUCCAAACUGGGAAUCAAUUUGUGACUUAACUUUUUAGCAUACUUGGAUGGGAUGGCCAUAAGGAAAGACUUACACUGGAUAAUUAUUUCCUUUAUUUUCAUUAUAGUAAAGCAUUCAAUAAAAGUGUUGCACAGUUGCUAUUUAUAUAAAUAGCUCUUAUAGUGGAUAUUGUAUUGAUUAAGAAACCGUGAGCAACAAGAACUGAUUAAUGUAAGCAGAUUGGAUUAUAUCAAGGUCCCAUUCUUCGUUCCUCAGGGUAUUUUCUAAGGUCCAACUCUCUUUGCAGUUAUCAGAAAAUAUUUUAAGGAUCUGGGAGAGCUAACCUCUUGGAGCUUUAAAUUUGUUAAACAUACUUUUAAUAAUGGGAGAUAAACCGAUAGAGCUAUUGGUCUCAUCAUGAGAAUUUCAGCAAUAUAAAUUUACAACUAAUGGAUGAUUCUAUACAAACAUAUGCAUCAAAGUUGAGGAACCUGAUAUGUAAAAAAGAAACUACUUCAUUUAAAAAUGUUCAAAGCACUGAGUCAUCGGGUUAUUAAUAUUGCAAUAAAGCAACAAUAGGUAGGAUUUGAUUAUGGGUUAUAGAAAAAUAAACGAAAUAUACUAAUGACCCAAACAGUACUAGGCCAUCUUCCAAGAAUGCUCUCAUUCAGCCACAUGCUAAUAGCAACCAUCUCCAGUACAGCUUAUUUAAUAGGGUUGUCUAUAAUUGGAAUGCCAUCCCUGUUGAAUCAACUAUAUGGAGCUCCAUUAGCCACUUGUCGAUUGAAAAAUAAAGUAUUGGAAUUUGAUUUUUGAUGGAUGGUAUUAUGUCUCCAAUACUUGAGUUGAAGGAAAGCUGCUAACAAUAAUUAGAUAUAUUAUGGAUGAAAAUUGAAGUGGAGUUAUUAUACUUAUCAUAAACUAUGGACUUGCGGACCAUUGGAAAAAUAAACAUUUUAAUAUUAGUACAUUUGUUUUGUAUUAUUAAUUCAAUAUUUAUUCAUAUACAGCAUAAUUUAGAUCUAUCGUCUAAUUUGAAAAUAAAUUUAUACUUUAUCAAUAA
rnacentral:lncRNA from 1 species